rnacentral:sRNA from 1 species
AAGUAAGAUUCCUCUUUUUAGAAAGUAAACAAUGAAUCUGUCACCAAGUUCUAACUGUAAAAUGGGGACAUUUUACCUUUCUUUCUUUGGAUAGGAUCAGUUCUUAAGAGCAGCCCCGGUAACUGGAGGAAUGGGAGCCGUUUUGAUGAGAAAAAUGGGCUGGAGAGAAGGAGAAGGAUUAGGAAAAAACAAAGAAGGCAAUAAGGAACCCAUCCUAGUUGAUUUUAAGACAGACCGAAAAGGUCUUGUUGCAGUAGGAGAAAGAGCACAAAAGAGGUCUGGGAACUUCUCUGCUGCAAUGAAAGAUCUGUCAGGCAAACAUCCUGUGUCUGCUUUGAUGGAGAUCUGUAAUAAAAGAAGGUGGCAACCACCUGAAUUUCUAUUGGUCCAUGAUAGUGGCCCUGAUCAUCGCAAACAUUUUCUCUUUAGGGUAUUGAUAAAUGGAAGCGCUUACCAGCCCAGCUUUGCCAGCCCUAAUAAGAAGCAUGCUAAAGCCACAGCAGCUACUGUGGUUCUUCAAGCAAUGGGCCUUGUACCAAAGGACCUCAUGGCUAAUGCCACUUGCUUCAGGAGUGCCUCACGUAGAUAGAUUGAGGUUUUAUAAUAAUCAUUUCAGAUAAUUUUACUCUGCAUCACAAUGUAUUUCCUCUUUAAUGUUGUAAAUAUUUGGCAAUUUAAGACAUUGUGUAAAAAGCAAUCUGUAAAAACAUCUCCAGGCUUUGAUUUUUGUACCAUGGAAAUUGUAUUUAACCAUACAGGGUUUUGGUAUGUUUAUAUUGUUUACCUUAGUGAUGUAUUUGUUUAAGUGGCUAACAUCCAAACGACUGUUUGAAGGCAUCAGAGUAAUCUUCAGUGUGGAAUGUUAAAUAACGCUUUUAUACUGUAUUUUGUACUAUGAUGUAACUCCCCUUCCUUAUGGCUAGGCUACUGUAACACUUGCCUGUAAUCAGUGAAGGGCUGUGCACCUUGUACUAUUUCACAAUGGGUUCUGCUGGAC